GUCCAAUGAACGCAUAGUGAGGG
rnacentral:piRNA from 1 species